rnacentral:rRNA from 1 species
UACGGAGGGGGCUAGCGUUGUUCGGAAUUACUGGGCGUAAAGCGCACGUAGGCGGUUCGUUAAGUCGGAUGUGAAAGCCCUCGGCUCAACUGAGGAAGUGCACCCGAAACUGGCGAGCUUGAGUACGAAAGAGGAUCGCGGAAUUCCCGGUGUAGAGGUGAAAUUCGUAGAUAUCGGGAGGAACACCGGUGGCGAAGGCGGCGAUCUGGGUCGAUACUGACGCUGAGGUGCGAAAGCGUGGGGAGCAAACAGG